AAGCCUGUCGGAAGUUCUGGAGGCCCAGACUUGGGACUGGUCAGUAGCCAGGGACCGAGUGGGGCAGUUGUUGGGGAUGUCUUGGGGAGUGAAGAUUGCACUUGGUGACAGCCUGGGUGACAGAGUACGACUCUGUCUCCAAAAAAAAAAAAAAAAGAUUAACAGUCUUUGCCAAAGGGGUAAACUUCUUUUGUUGUUGUUAUUUGGUUUUGUUUUUAAUAAAAUAAUUAAAACAGCAAAACAUAAACCUUAAGCUAUUCAAAUAGCAUUUUCAGUUAGAAAUAAAAUGGAGAAAAAUGACAAAUAGUAUCCAUAAAGUUUGAUGAUUGCCAUAAUAGCAAAUGCA
rnacentral:lncRNA from 1 species